rnacentral:tRNA from 1 species
UGGGGUGCAGCUCAGUGGUAGAGCAUGUGUUUUGCAUGCACAAGCCCCUGGGUUCAAUCCCCAGCACCAGAA